UCGAAAUCUCCGUCACAGGGUUGAGUCUGGGUUAAUGUUUUAUAAGGAACUGACUACCCUCGUCUACCUGUCGGUCUUCCCUGACGUAAUACCAGGACUGAACUCGCCCUUUGGGGUGCAGAGGACACUUCCCCAAGCCCGCAUCAAGGGUCCUCCUUUCCAAAAGUCUCGAAGUGGGCCAGAGACCCCUCUCCCUGGACCCCCUCGCCUCUUGCCUUCAGCGCGCGUUCCGGCACCCAAUUUCAGUUGGCGAGGGGAGCCUGUGCAUCAUUACUGAACGCAAAUCCUAGCAUUCCUCCGCUAGAGGUACCAAGCGACCUUGGUGUUGGGGUUCCCUGUGCCUCCGCGGCUGGACUCUCUGGGGAACAGAGACGGAGAACGGACACUUCCCAUCGAGACAGAACUCCUGGAUCAGUCCUUGGGCAGAAGGUCGAUUUGGGAACGGACGUGCACCCUCUCCCUCAGCUCUAGCGCAGGGGCCCUUCUAAGCCACCCGCCCAGUGUGGCAGUGCUCCCUAGGGCGUCGAUGACCGUGCCCUGCCAGGCCUUGUCUUGCACCAGUUCCCCGGGACCCCACAAUGUGCGACUACCCUCUGUCUGCAAUCCGUGUGCCCUGCCUUCCUCUGCCUGCCGCUCAGGGGCCAGAGACGCUCUGCGGCUGAGCCUGAGAAGACACUAAUGUUACUGUAAAUGUGGGAUGAAGCCGGAUGGUCACAGAGCUGACCCUUUCUGCGCCCUUGUCAUGCUCCAUUCCGCCUCCGAGUUUAGGCUUUCCUUUCGGGACUGAGCCUGCCAGCCGACACGUCUGAGCCGGCUGCUAAUGAACAAAUAAACUGCAAAAAACGAAGGAAGGGGAGGGUUCGACAAGAUUCAGACUAAAACUGGGUAUAAAUACCUGGGGAGUGUCCUGCAUGGUGGCUGAAAAAUGUCAAGCGGAGUCGCCCAAGUCUUUGGGCCUUUGAGAGCGGCCGGACUUGGUGAUGCCACUUCCCUAGAGGCCCGCUCCUGCAAGGCAGAGCCGCAAAGGACAGAAGAAUUCCACUUCGAUUCUACUUGAGCUGAGAUCCUCUACAAGUGCACGGAAUCUUCCCUCCCGGAACCGGACAGAUUGGACAUAAUUUCUAUUUCAGAUUUAGACAACCGCCAGUCAUUGAGGCUGUGCCCGGGCAGCAAGAAAGGGUGGCGGGCACACAGGAGCACUCCGAGCGCUCCGCAGGGCCUCUGCCCCAGACACCCGGCGGAGACAUUCCGGGCUACCCUUACACCUGACCCGGCACAGGGAAUGGGGCGACUGUUUAGAGUCCCAGCGCUGGGCCACUGCAGAGAGAAUGGGACUCACUAUGCCAACUUAAUUGGCCUUGGGCCUUCAGACCUUGACACACGCGAAGAUAUAGUAGCUGUCCCUAGCCUAGCCUGAGCCAUAAAGACACAGUAGUCGCCUACUGUGUGGGGGUACCUGAGGAGGAAAGUUUGUUUCAUUGUGGACAUUGUUUUAGUAUUCUCAGAAGAGCAGGACCAUUCCUAAAUAAUUGGGGUUCCUCUUCCUCACAUAAAAUUUAAAUUUUCGAGGAUCAAAGACUGGCAAUGAAUAAUCCACUAAAAUCAUUAAUAUUAUAAGAGUCUGAACCUCUUUUUUUUUAGAAAUUCCUAGACCUAUAGAGAAAUGCAGCAAGAAUCCGUGGCUUUGUAUUCUGUGUCACCAUUUGUCAGGAAAAGUUUCAAGCUGCCGGGAUUCCCUAGAACUGAAAAACAACUCUUGUAGAAAUCAGGUUUUUUACUCUGUAAGUUUAGUAUUGUUUUAGCUUCAAGUACAUGAUCAUACCUUAUUUGAAAUCAUCACUAUAGCUUCUGAUACCUGUUUUUUAUAUUUUUUUCAUGUUAUUAUUUUUUGGUAGUGAUCUGUCUCCUUAAGAAAAAAAAAGGUGUUCCCCCACCACCACCCCAGUGGCUAGACCUACAAUUUCUAGCAAAUAAAUUUGCCUUGCAAAUGCUCUGCACAAAAUUUAGUUCUUCACAUUUUAAGUCAACAUCAAAACUAGAAUCAAACGGAGAAAAUCAGUGUAGAGCAUAAACUGUGCUUAAAGGCUUUUAAAUGAGAAAAACUUCUGUAAGAAAAUAAACAUGGAAACUUAA